UCUUAGUGGCGGACGGGUGAGUAACGCGUGGGUAACCUGCCCCAUACCGGGGGAUACCACCUGGAAACAGGUGCUAAUACCGCAUAAGCGCACGGGAGCGCAUGCUCCUGUGUGAAAAACUCCGGUGGUAUGGGAUGGACCCGCGUCUGAUUAGCCAGUUGGCAGGGUAACGGCCUACCAAAGCGACGAUCAGUAGCCGGCCUGAGAGGGUGACGGCCACAUUGGGACUGAGACACGGCCCAAACUCCUACGGAAGGCAGCAG
rnacentral:rRNA from 1 species